rnacentral:rRNA from 1 species
UACGGAGGGUGCAAGCGUUAUCCGGAUUUACUGGGUUUAAAGGGUGUGUAGGCGGGUCUUUAAGUCAGUGGUGAAAUCUCCGAGCUUAACUUGGAAACUGCCAUUGAUACUAUUGAUCUUGAAUUUUGUUGAGGUAGGCGGAAUAUGUCAUGUAGCGGUGAAAUGCAUAGAUAUGACAUAGAACACCAAUUGCGAAGGCAGCUUACUAAGCAAAUAUUGACGCUGAGGCACGAAAGCAUGGGGAGCGAACAGG